UCCUAUCUAAGAGGGGCUAACUUUACAGCUGCCACUUGUGUGGUCACACGGUGACUCAUUGUUAAACCCCCUUUUGCUUUCUCUGCUGUCAUUUGAUUUGGUGAUUAAUAACUUAUAAACAAAUGGCUCUGCUUUCAGUUUUCUCUGCAACCCCCAGAGAGCAUAAGAUCUCUAUUUCCUAGCUGCCCUCUUCCCCAGUCUGGUGGGAUGUAGCUCACCAGGCAGGGUUAGUUUACAUGGGGGGCAACAUCUUCUCCAGGAGUCAGAGUCGAAGAGAAUGAACACAUUUCUGCUAAGAUGGUUUCUGCUGUUGCCAGUUGAGUGAAGCAACUUAAUGAACCACCAAGCAGCUGAGGGACUCAUCUAGAGACACAACAACAAAAAACAAGGCCCUUGUCAGAAGUCCCUUCCUCAGUCACGGAGGAGGUGUUACCUGAGAGUACCACUUCUGGGAUUUGGUUGCUGUGAAGCAUCUCUAUGCUCUGUGCUGGGUGAUAGAAAGUGAGGGUCAUAAGACAGCCCCCCCAUACAGCUUGUUGUAGGCAGGAGUUGUGCAGCCCCCUGCAGUAGACUCCCAUCUCAAACUCACACUAUACCAUUUCAUUGCCAGCCUCUUUUAAAAGCACAUUUAUUAGGAUAUAAUUCACAUACCACAAAAUUGCCUCUUUAAACUACGCCACUGGGUGUCUUUUCAGUAUGUCUGUGGAAUUGUACCCUAUCAUAUAGCCAUCACCACAGUCCACUGUAGGACAUUUUCAGUGUCCGGGAAGAAGUCUCAGGCACAUAGGCAGUCUCCCUCCAAUCCCCCUUCCCCACUCCACUACAGUCCCCACCACUGGCAAACCCUAACCCAUGUCAACCCGGUCCCCACCACUGGCAAACUCUAACCCAUGUCAACCUGGUCCCCACCAUGGGAAAUUACUAACCCACGUAACCCCAGUCCCCACUGCUGGAAAACCACUAACCCAUGUCACCCCAGUCCCUACCAUGGGCAAGCACUACCCCAUGUUCUGUCCUCUUGUGUCCAGCUUAUCAAACCCUGAGGCUCAUCCUUGUCAUAGCUGGUGUCAGUGCAUAGCUCCUCAUCAUGAACAAUAACAUUCCAUUCUGUGGACAGACCACACUGCUAAUUAAGUGAGUCUUUCCAAGAUUAUAUGCUAGAAACUGACGUCCUGACCUAACAGCGUUGGGGAUCGAGCCGUAUGAGAAGCAACCAGACAGUGUGGACUCUGCCUUCAUGAACAGAAGGAAGAAGGCAGGGCCUAACUGGAAGUUACUGAAGGCAUACCUUGGAGAUACAACACCCCAUGGACUCUUCCUUUAUACUCCCUAGCCACCAGGAGGAGCCAGGGCAGAGGGAGCGGCUGUGUGAGAUGGAGCCAGCUGAAGCUGACAGGGCGGCGGAAAGGGUACGUGAUGCUACGCGAUGUUUCCAGACUUCAGCAUCCACAUGCUUGCUCAGUACUCGAAAGUCAGAGGAGGAAACUGGGAUCCUGAUUUCCAUCCGGGUCCUGCCUUCCCCUACCAUCAGUCACGGGGCUGCAAACCCUAAAGGACCUCACUGGAGCUAUUACUGCUGUUUAAACCCUGAGAAGUCAAGGACCCAAAUUUGUCUCUUCUUAGCUUUUCUAGAUAAACUAAUGCAUAUAAGAACCAAAGAUCCCAUACCCCGUGAACUGGGAAGAGCGAGGAGAAGACACACACGCUCCCAGUCCCAUUCUUCUCUUGCAUAACCAGCAGAUCUCAUCCAGUCUUUCAAUUAAUUCAAUUAAGUUCCCCAAGCUUAAUCAUCUGGCGCCUGUUUCAAAGCUGGGCUGCUUCAUGGUAGAGUGGAAAGGCAGCGUCACACCAGAAAUCCAGAACAAUUGGAAACAAAACGUGAAGCCUACUGGAUAGACUGUGUGCUCGACAUGCCCAAGGCCCUGGGUUCCAUCCCCAGCACCGAACCAACCUCAAAACACCUGAAAAGAGGAGACAAUUAGAAAGUUACAGGAUAGCAUUAUCACGCUGCCUGGGCAGCCUUCCUCCAUCUCCUGCACGCCACACAAUAGCCUUCAAGACUGUCUUUGUUCUGGUGUUUCUCUGGGCUCUCUUGCCCACGGAGACUCCCCCCACCCCUUUCCUUCCUCUGGGUAGGUUUUAAUUGGGUAGACACUGCUUCUCAGACUUGAAAGUACACAGGUGUCACCUGAGGUCUUGUUAAAACACGGAUUCUGACUCAGCACAUUGGGAGCAGCCCGAGAACCUGUUUCUCUAACAAGUGUGUGGGUGACACCAGUGAGCGCCAUAUGCUCCGGGAUGGGUGGAUUAUUUGAUUAUUUUAAGUCUCUGCUUUCUGCGUUCUCUAGGGAGUAGGCAGAGGCUCCUGGGUGCCUGCCCUAAAGCAGGCACUCCUAGGCCAAAGAAACUCCUUUUCCAAGGAAGGAGAGCGCCUGAUUUCUCUUGUGCUUCUUCAAGGGAGAACCCCGCCAGUCCUCUGUGACACUGUCCCAAUUCUCUCGUUUCUUCAGAGACACUGAGGAACAGCCUUCUUAUAUUACAUAACAGAACAGAAAAGUCACACUGGCAUGGUUUCUAAACAGAGGGACUUUUAAUAAGCCAGGCGUGCAGACAUUACAAAUUCUCAUUUCGCCUUGCAUUCUGUCAUCUAUCUUCUGGGAAUGAGGCUUAGAGACCGUGGUGUAGCUCACUUAGAACAACAGACAAUUGUCACAGCCUGUUAAUUCCAUCUGCUUCUGACGGGGAGGGGAAAAUGGUUCCGUAGUGAAGUCAGAGGGGCUCAGACCCAGACAGGGGUUUUCCUGAGGGUCCCACAGCGAGAGCUAUUGUAUAAUGAGAGGAGUGAAGGAAAGGAAAAAAAGAGCGCCAAGCGGCCGCCCGCCGGGUGAUGGAGGCUUCUGUCUGCCAAUCACGCUUGAUGACGUUUGAGCCUUCUCUUCAGAAAACAACAACAACAACAACAAAACCCACAAACCACUGUCUGUGGGAGUCGCAGUGUAGAUAAGGAGAGGAAUGAAAGGGACGUUAGCUCCAGUCACGGUGGUGACGUGUUGUGUCUACAUGUGGACUAGGCCUCUAACUGAAGUGCCCACUAAUUACCAAGUGCUUUUGAAACCAAAAAGAUCACUGCCUAAACAUCCCUCAGUUUCUUUAGCUUAGAUUUCUUUUUAUAAAUUGAAACUUUAUUUAAAAAAAAAUAAGACAGCGUGCACCCGAAUUAAUCAGACCUGAGAUCUCUACAUCUCAGUGUAUAGACUUCUACGCAGAACAGUCAUUAGGAAGCUGUGGAUAGGUACAUUGGAUUUCACAUUCAUUUCAUGACUAAGAUUAUUGGUUUCACUGUGUAAAAUGUGUAUAAUUUCAGGAUGACUUUAGCAGUCCACUUACUGUUGUUGGGAGCCAGGAUUUUCCGCCAUCCGACUUGGGACUUAUGUCAUCUUGGAGAACCACAACUCACACCAGUGAAUAUCCCUGGAAUCUCUCACUGCAGAGAAUGAAACUGAACAAGAAGAGUCCCAGCUGCAGUGUUCUGCAUCUAUAAGGCUGCUCCUAGCCAGUGACAUCAUGUGGCAGUGAUCUUUCUGGAUCCAGUAGAAUCAGUAGCCUCUAACAGGCUCAGUAUGGUGGUAUGCUGUGCUCUCAAUGUUCAAGAGGCAGAGGCAGGAGGAUCUCAACUUAAGGGAAAGAUUACAUUGUCACCCAACUCUCGAACAGAAACUGACAGACUUCGACAUCACGCUGCUAACAAGGGAUGUUUCCAAGGCCACCCUUCCACAGAGACUGGCAUUUUCAGAUGAGCCAGCUUCACCGGGAAGACUGUUCCCAAAACCUGGCGAAAACCUUCAUCUGGUGAUGGAUGGAGAUAGAGACAGAGACCCACACUGGAGCACUGGACUGAGUUCCCAAGGUCCCAAUGAGGAGCAGAUGGAGGGAGAACACGAGCAAGGAUGUCAGGACCACGAGGGGUGCACCCACCCACUGAGACAGUGGGGCUGAUCUAUUGGGAGCUCACCAAGGCCAGCUGGACUGUGACUGAAAAAGCAUGGAAUAAAACCGGACUCUCUGAUCAUGGCGAACAAUGAGGGCUGAUGAGAAGCCAAGGACAAUGACAUUUUGAUCCUACUUCAUGUUCCGGCUUGGUGGGAGCCUAGCCAGUUUGGACGUUCACCUUCCUAGACAUGAACGGAGGGGGGAGG